AUUUAAAUACCCCUAGACAGUAUGGAUAAUGAUCAGGUAGAACAGAUUUAAAUACCCCUAGACAGUAUGGAUAAUGAUCAGGUAGAACAGAUUUAAAUACCCCUAGACAGUAUGGAUAAUGAUCAGGCAGAACAGAUUUAAAUACCCCUAGACAGUAUGGAUAAUGAUCAGGUAGAACAGAUUUAAAUACCCCUAGACAGUAUGGAUAAUGAUCAGGUAGAACAGAACAGAUUUAAAUACCCCUAGACAGUAUGGAUAAUGAUCAGGUAGAACAGAACAGAUUUAAAUACCCCUAGACAGUAUGGAUAAUGAUCAGGUAGAACAGAACAGAUUUAAAUACCCCUAGACAGUAUGGAUAAUGAUCAGGUAGAACAGAUUUAAAUACCCCUAGACAGUAUGUAUAAUGAUCAGGUAGAACAGAACAGAUUUAAAUACCCCUAGACAGUAUGGAUAAUGAUCAGGUAGAACAGAACAGAUUUAAAUACCCCUAGACAGUAUGGAUAAUGAUCAGGUAGAACAGAACAGAUUUAAAUACCCCUAGACAGUAUGGAUAAUGAUCAGGUAGAACAGAUUUAAAUACCCCUAGACAGUAUGGAUAAUGAUCAGGUAGAACAGAACAGAUUUAAAUAACCCUAGACAGUAUGUAUAAUGACCAGGUAGAACAGAACAGAUUUAAAUACCCCUAGACAGUAUGGAUAAUGAUCAGGUAGAACAGAACAGAUUUAAAUAACCCUAGACAGUAUGGAUAAUGAUCAGGUAGAACAGAUUUAAAUACCCCUAGACAGUAUGGAUAAUGAUCAGGUAGAACAGAACAGAUUUAAAUACCCCUAGACAGUAUGGAUAAUGAUCAGGUAGAACAGAUUUAAAUACCCCUAGACAGUAUGGAUAAUGAUCAGGUAGAACAGAUUUAAAUACCCCUAGACAGUAUGGAUAAUGAUCAGGUAGAACAGAACAGAUUUAAAUACCCCUAGACAGUAUGUAUAAUGAUCAGGUAGAACAGAUUUAAAUACCCCUAGACAGUAUGGAUAAUGAUCAGGUAGAACAGAUUUAAAUACCCCUAGACAGUAUGGAUAAUGAUCAGGUAGAACAGAACAGAUUUAAAUACCCCUAGACAGUAUGGAUAAUGACCAGGUAGAACAGAACAGAUUUAAAUACCCCUAGACAGUAUGUAAAGGGUGUACCGGUCCCAGUAGCUGCGUCCUCUCGGGAAGUACUCCAGGUUGACCCGCCGGACCAUCCAGUGUAGAGGGUGUGUUAGGAGAGUCUCCUCCCCAGGGAUCAGUCUCCACAGACUGGGUUCUAGCUGGAGGGGAACCAGCAG